GUGAGCUUUAUAACAUGCAUUUGCUUGGAUUUUCUUCAUAAUCAUCUAAGAUCGUAAACAGAAACGAAUCUCAUCCUUAGAUGGUGAUUCUUCUUUGAAUAAUCCCUCCAGUUAAGACUCUUUCCUUCAAAAAAAUAAGUUUCAUGGUGUGAAGAUGCAACCGUUUGAUAUGACGGGGUGGAAUGCCAACUGGUACCAAAUGACCCGAUCGGGUUUUCUUUAUGCUCAAUUUCACAGUUCCAUUCGGAUGUAGACGAGCAGCUGUUGGUUGUUGAGUACUCAUGACUUCAGAAUCGAAUGAACUGCCAAGUAUCCUCCGUAGAUUGUAGACAUCUAGAUCACUAGGUUUUGGAUCAUAAAGAUUUCCCUCCGGCUCAACAAGCCCUAAUACAGUAGAAGAUGAGAAAAAUGAUGCUUAAGAGUAAAAAGGAUGCCUUGAGAGAGGAUCUUGCAAGGAUGCUGAAGAUGAAGAUAAUAUUUUCGAAGGUACCGCGGAGAGGUUGGACCACGCCGACGACGAGUCUAGACUAUGGGACCCACCGAUCAGGAGACAGACGACGGACGCCCACCCAUUUCCACGACCCCCCUUCUGCUUUUUUUUUCGUAAAUCCCUCGAUCCCCGGGGUUUUGAGAGGUCGCAACCCUGAAAAGAAAUAGGGGAAUCUGAUCGAGAAUAAAUUAAUUGUAUAAAAUCCUUCCUAUUGUGAAAUUCUGUGCCAAUAAAACUAUCGUAUCUGCUCGCAUGAAA